CCCCACUCACCGAUGAGAAAACUGAGAACCACGGGGCUCGGGAGAAGGGACACGUUCGCCCUGUCCCCCUCCCCACCCAAAGCUUCCACAUCAGGGCCUCCCUCCGGGGAACCCCUAGCAGGGACUUUUGACAUUUCAUGGUGUCAGAAGUGGGAUUCAAACAGAAGACAGCCCCCCCACCCCCACCCCACACACAGACCCCGAGGCUGCUGAGCAAACAGACCCUGACACCCACAGAGCCCACUGAGCUCACCACUUUCUUGUUGACCCUGAAGAGUGAAGGUGAGUCUCUCAAAUCUGAGCUCUCUCUCUUAGGUUCUAAGCUGCCCAACUUUAUUGUGCAUGCCUGCUCAGAUGGCCAGUGUUUGUGUGCAAGACUCUCUAUUUGCAUCCUGUAAGGACCCUUUUGGAGCUGUGUUUUGGAGUCAUUUUGUCCUUUAGCAGCUUCUGUUUGCCAAUCAAAGAAUGCAUUCCAUUUUCUCUCUCUUGUUUUUGAAUAAGGUAUGAAGGAGAUGGGUUUUUGUUGUUAUUGUUUUUUUUUUUUUUUGGUUUUGGUUUUUCUUUUUGGGGGGAGGGGGGUAAGGGAGAAAGGAAGUAAUUUUGUCUUGAAUUAAAAUGAUUGUUCCAGAAUAAGAAGGGAAAAAGAUAGGACAAGAUGUAAAUGGUUAAAGAAUGUUGCAGGUUUGUGGAAAGAGAUCUUGAAAAAGGAAUUUAAUGUGAAGUCAAGCUAAGAUUGGAAUGGAUUUAUUUAACUUAAAAAAAAAAAAAAAAGGAUUUUAGGAGAGCCUGGCUGGCUCAAUCAAUGGAGCAUGCCACUCUUGAUCUCGGGGUUGUGAGUUCAAGCCCUGUGUUGAGCGUGGAGCCUACUUAAAAUUAAAAAAAAAGGGGGGGGCGCCUGGGUGGCUCAGUCGGUUAAGCGUCUGACUUCAGCUCAGGUCACGAUCUCGCGGUCCAUGAGUUCGGGCUCUGGGCUGAUGGCUCAGAGCCUGGAGCCUGCUUCCAAUUCUGUGUCUCCCUCUCUCUCUGCCCCUCCCCCGUUCAUGCUCUGUCUGUCUCUGUCUCAAAAAUAAAUAAACGUUUAAAAAAAAUUUUUUUUAAAAAGAAUUUUAAUAUCAAGAGUACAUGGUACAAAAUUAGAAUUUGGUUUCUGCUGUUAAAAUCACAACAUUUUUUUAGAUUAUCAGUCUGCCCCUAACAAGAAAUUGUAAACAAAGGUAUUUCUGUACUUUUAAUGUAUUUUGCCUGCAAAGCAAAGAUUCUGUAUUUUAUGAAAAUAAUUUCAUGUGCUUUGUCCUUACCAAGUCUUGGAUUAGGUAGGAAAAUAACUGAGUCCUCUGUAUUAAAAGAACUGAGUUUCA